rnacentral:misc_RNA from 1 species
UCUCCGUUGGUGAACCAGCGGAGGGAUCAUUACCGAGUUUACAACUCCCAAACCCCUGUGAACAUACCUAUCGUUGCCUCGGCGGUGCCCGCUCCGGCGGCCCGCCAGAGGACCCCCAAACUCUUGUUUUAUACAGUAUCUUCUGAGUAACACGAUUAAAUAAAUCAAAACUUUCAACAACGGAUCUCUUGGUUCCG